rnacentral:tRNA from 1 species
GAGAGAGGCUCGUUGCAGCGAAGACUGCUACUCUUCGCCUCUUUGGUUAGACCCCAAAGCUCACUCG